rnacentral:lncRNA from 1 species
CAUCCACUGAUGCCAGCAGUGGCAUCUCCAAGCCAAUGUGCUUUGCUGUUAGAAGGCCAAGGUUAGAAGUGCAGCCAGCAUGGCAUGACCAGGAAAUAAAUGCCAGUUUAUUAAAUAACGAGUAAGCCACCGUUUCAAGCCUGCCCUGUGGAGGAAAUGCCAGUUUAUUAAAUAACGAGUAAGCCACCGUUUCAAGCCUGGCCUGUGGAGGAAAUGCCAGUUUAUUAAAUAACGAGUAAGCCACCGUUUCAAGCCUGCCCUGUGGAGGAAAUGCCAGUUUAUUAAAUAACGAGUGCGGAUCGAUGAGUACGAUCACUCCAAGCUCAUCCAGGGGCAACAGAAGAAGCCCUUUGAGGAGCACUGGAGGAAGCACACCCUGUCCUAUGUGGACGUCAGCACUGGGAAGUGCACAGCCAGAGAACAACAC